AUCCCACAAUAUGAAUAUAUUGAAUUGUACCACAAACAACAUGGAUAUUGUUUGGACUGCCAUGACAAAAAGAGAAAGAAAGAAGGUUGGGAGGCCCAUGAACAUUCAAAUAAGGCAAAAAAAAUUGUCCUGAAGGCUAAGCCAUGUCAAGAAAAUACAAAUGAAAAAGACUAUUAAGAUGCAUGAAAAGAGAAACAGCAAGCAAAAGGAUGAUGAGCCAACUCCACAAGGACCAUCCCCGCCUAUCUGCUGGACAGAGAGGGGCAGUAGAGAGCAAAAGUACUUUCCAACAUGAUUAAGCAGAAAUGAAAAGAAAAGGUGGGGAAUUGGAAGGUCUCUCUACCUAAAGUUUGUGCCCAAGGAGAAUCAGAAGUAUCGAAAGUUAUUAGAACAGGAAAAAAAAAAAGCAUGGAAGAGAAUGCUCUGUUGGUGAUGGCUUUACAAGAAAACCACCUAUAUAUGAAAGGUUCAUUAGGCCAAUGGAUCUACGUUUCAAAAAAGCCCAUGUCACGCACCCUGAGCUGAAAGACACCUUUUGCUUCCCAAUACUAGGUGUGAAAAAGAAUUCAUCAUCCCCAUUAUAUACAACCCUGGGUGUGAGUUCCAAAGCUACAGUGAUUGAAGUGAAUGUGAGCGAGUUGGGCCUUGUGACACAGGAGGCAAGGUGAUUUGGGGGAAGUAUCCCCAAGUUACCAACAAUCCUGAAAACAAUGGGUGCAUAAAUGUGGUCUUGCUGGUUUAA
rnacentral:lncRNA from 1 species